AUAUUGCUUAAUGGGCGCAAGCCUGAAGCAGCAACGCCGCGUGUGCGAUGACGGCCUUCGGGUUGUAAAGCACUUUUAGGUGGGAAGAGGAAGGACGGUACCACCUGAAUAAGCCUCGGCUAACUACGUGCCAGCAGCCGCGGUAAAACGUAGGAGGCGAGCGUUAUCCGGAUUUACUGGGUGUAAAGCGCGUGCAGGCGGUUCGCCAAGUUGGAUGUGAAAGCUCCCGGCCCAACUGGGAGAGGUCGUACAAGACUGGCGGACUGGAGUGUGGUAAGGGAAGGUGGAAUUCCGGGCGUAGUGGUGAAAUGCGUAGAUAUCCGGAGGAACACCAGUGGCGAAGGCGGCCUUCUGGACCACGACUGACGCUCAGACGCGAAAGCUAGGGUAGCAAAC
rnacentral:rRNA from 1 species